AGAGUUUGAUCCUGGCUCAGGAUGAACGCUGGCGGCGUGCCUAACACAUGCAAGUCGAACGGACUUUUCAUGAAGCCUAGCGAUUGAAAAGUUAGUGGCGGACGGGUGAGUAACGCGUGGGUAACCUGCCUUGUACUGGGGGACAACAGUUGGAAACGACUGCUAAUACCGCAUAAGCGCACAGCUUCGCAUGAAGCGGUGUGAAAAACUCCGGUGGUACAAGAUGGACCCGCGUCUGAUUAGCUGGUUGGUGAGGUAACGGCCCACCAAGGCGACGAUCAGUAGCCGGCCUGAGAGGGUGAACGGCCACAUUGGGACUGAGACACGGCCCAAACUCCUACGGGAGGCAGCAGUGGGGAAUAUUGCACAAUGGGGGAAACCCUGAUGCAGCAACGCCGCGUGAGUGAAGAAGUAUUUCGGUAUGUAAAGCUCUAUCAGCAGGGAAGAAAAUGACGGUACCUGACUAAGAAGCCCCGGCUAACUACGUGCCAGCAGCCGCGGUAAUACGUAGGGGGCAAGCGUUAUCCGGAUUUACUGGGUGUAAAGGGAGCGUAGACGGUUUUGCAAGUCUGAAGUGAAAGCCCGGGGCUUAACCCCGGGACUGCUUUGGAAACUGUAGAACUAGAGUGCAGGAGAGGUAAGUGGAAUUCCUAGUGUAGCGGUGAAAUGCGUAGAUAUUAGGAGGAACACCAGUGGCGAAGGCGGCUUACUGGACGGUAACUGACGUUGAGGCUCGAAAGCGUGGGGAGCAAACAGGAUUAGAUACCCUGGUAGUCCACGCCGUAAACG
rnacentral:rRNA from 1 species